AAAUGAAGAGAAUGGUAUGAAGAGAACCGCAGUCAUGUAACUGUAUUCUUCAGUAGCGACGGGAUCGUUUUGGCAGCACAAUGCUCCAUGCCACACAGCCAGGUCAUUCAAGGUAUGGAUGGAGGACCACCAGCCCAAUCUCCAGACCUGAACCCCACUGAAAACCUCUGAUGUGAUCAAAAAGAAGAUGGACAGUCACAAGCCAUCAAACAAUGGCCAGCUGCUUGAAUUUUUGCACCAGGAGUGUCAUAAAGUCGCCCAAAAGACUAGUGGAGAGCAUGCAAAGACGCACGAAAGCUGUAAUUCAGAAUCAGGGUUAUUCCACCA
ensembl:lncRNA